GCCCAUCCCCCACACCUCUAUGUGGAGGGCAGGCCAGUCCACAAGAAGCAAUCCCAUCCCCUUCUGGAUGACUGACGCAGUCCGAACUCGAAGAACCCCAUCACCCUUGCCGAGCCCAGGGUAACGCUGCAAGUAGCGGGUUAGAUCGAAGCUUCCCCACCUCCUGGAAGACAGCAGACAUGGAGGCCUCCCUCCUUACUCAAGAAAUCAUCCCUUGCUUCGGCCUACCUGCCACCAUCCAGUGAGACAACAGUCCAGCAUUUACGGCCCAAGUAGUCCAGCUAGUCGCCAAGUCCCUCAACAUCUCCCGGAAACUGCACAUCCCUUACCAUCCUCAGUAGUUGGGUAAAGUUGAAUGGGCCCACGGCAUCCUCAAAGACCAUUUGGCCAAACUCGCUAUUGAGGUAAAACUCUCUUGGCCCACACUCCUACCUCUUGCCCUGGCCCGGGUCCAGGCCACCGCAUGGGGGCCAAUGGGCCUUAGCCCCUUCAAAUUGCUAUAAGGCCAGCCUUUUCUGGUUUCUCACAACCUCCCUGUAAACCCCCCUCCACUGGCUUCCUACCUUCCCUGCCUCUCCCUCCUCUGUCACCUGUUAAGGGAACUUGCAGACUGCUCCCUCCCUGUUGUUCCAGGACCAGAAGACUCCCACCCAGCGGUGCCUCUCUAACCGGGUGACAACGUUCUCCUCCAAGAACUCAAACCAGGAUCCUUGCAACCCAGAAUCCUGGACUGAGGGCCCCACCACCAGGACCCAUUAUCUUGCACAGGCAAACUGCCAAACAGGAAGUAGCCAGAAAGAAGUGGUGUCCUACAUCAUCAAAAGGGUCGGAAUGUAAGGCCGGUUGCCUUGCCAGGAGGCCGGAUACACCCACCUCUGCACUCAGCACCUGACUGCACUCAGCACCUGACUGCACUCAGCACCUAGCUCUGCCCCAUGGCU
rnacentral:lncRNA from 1 species